rnacentral:rRNA from 1 species
GACGAACGCUGGCGGUGUGCCUAAUACAUGCAAGUUGAGCGCUCAGGGGUGGUACUUGUACCUACUGGGUGAGCAGCGAACGGGUGAGUAACGCGUGGGGAACCUACCUUUGAGCGGGGGACAACAUUGGGAAACGAAUGCUAAUACCGCAUAAAAACUUUAAACACAAGGUUUAAGAUUGAAAGAUGCAAUUGCAGUACCCAAUGAUGAGCUCGCGUUGUAAUAGGCAGGUGGGGAGGUAAAGGCCCACCAAGGCGAAGAUACAGAGGCGACCUGGGAGGGGGGUCGGCCACAUUGGGACCGGGGCACGGCCCAAACUCCUACGGGAGGCAGCAGUAGGGGAUCUUCGGCAAUGGAGGAAAGGCUGACCGGGCAACGCCGGGGGAGGGGAGAAAGGUUUCGGAACGUAAAACUCCGUUGGUAGGGAAGGACGUUAGGGAGAGUGGAAAGCGCAUCAAGUGACGGUAACUACCCAGAAAGGGACGGCUAACUACGUG